UGGAAUUGUUAUUGAAGGAGCAGACAUGAAGAGGGCUGGACCUCUGAGGCAGAAACACCUUAUGGCCCAUUAAAGAGAGAGAAGUUAUUUUGCUCAGGUGCGGGGUCUAUAUGCAGAAGAGCAAAUAGGGCAAGACAAUGCGGGAUCCCAGAAACCCAUCACAAUAGCACCAGCUGCACUGGGCAUAGGGUGCACUUCACCCUUCUCUAAUGCUUCCUCUCCCUCUAUACCACAGCCAAAGACCCUGCUUCAUGAUUGAGACCGCAUCAGCCACAGCUCCUUUCAGAGCCUGUACAGCCUGGCCUCAUGCAUCUACCAGAAGGAGUUACUCCAGGCAGACAGAGGCAUGAUGCGCCUUUACCCCAUCCCUGUUGGUGAUGACAAAGUGCUUAAUUUAGGGAUGAGGAAAUCUCACUUAAAGUUGUGCUAAAUGACUUUGACCUAAAUGUGGGUUCAUACAGCAGUAGAAGAUGGGGCGGGGUGGGUUUAUACAGCAUUUCAGGGUUAGAGAUCUUUGAACAGUCUCAACCAGCAUCCAGCAGCGUAGAUCCAAAUUCAGUGCAGGUGCGAGCUGGUGAACUGACUUCAAUGGGAGUUACACCCACUUCUGCCAAGGCUAGAGUUGGUCCAUAAAGCCUAAUGGUGCUGAUGUGGAGCUAUGUAUGCCACAGUCCCCAGCGGCUGAACAUGGUGUCUCCACUGUAGCCUGGACACACGUGGACCUGGGAAAUUCUAGGUAAUGAACCCAAAUGGUGCUGCUGCCCCAAGACUUGGCAGUGUUGGCCCGGGUGCUAUGUUUAUGGAGCCUUUUUGCAAUGUUUGCACCAAGUUCUGAGUAAUGUAAGAAAUAAGUCAAAGCUCAGGGAAGACAGACGAACUUUUGCUGCACUAUCGUGUGUGUGUGUGUGUGUGAGAGAGAGAGAGAGGCAUGUGUUCAGCUCACACAGAUGCAGCCACAAGAUCAGACCACACCCAGAAGCCUCUCAGAUACACAGACCAAGACAUGCUAAAGAAAACAAAUCCCUUUUCAUUCCACAUCAUUUCUGCAAUUUCCUUUUAGCCAACUCAUCCUGAUCCAGUCUUCCCGAAUGAUCCAAAACAAGAGACAAAAGGAAAAAAAGCAGUGCCCAAAACACACAAAAAGAAAAGGAAUGUGGCUUACGCUCAGGAAUUGGAGUCAAAAGGUUAUCAUUAUUAUUCGUAGUAAGCCUACACCCCAGUCAAGGAUCAUUGUGCGAGCGGCUGUACACACAGGUCACAAAGGACAUUACAGUUCGUGUGCCAGAGAGGAUGCAAUCGGAGGACAAAACAGACAAAUCAGGGCUCAGAGGCUAGAGAGAUUGAAGAAUCACAACACACCGCUUUGGAUCGCCUUAACAAUGUUGUCAAAUUUUAUUCAGCAAAAUAUUUUCCCAAGGAGCGCUAGAAAUCAAAAGAGAAAUCUAACUAGCUUUCAAAAACCAUCAGACUUUUCCAGCAGCUUCCAGUAUGGACUUUGUUUCCAGGCUAAUUACAUGAAUGCCAGUGCAGAGUAGAACAUUAAUUGUAACAAUGUAUCCUCGUGUUCUCUCAGAUACUUUUAGUCAAUAAAAAUACAGCAAUUUACAUGGAUUGCCAUUUAUAGCAUGUGCAUUCAACCCCCUAUUUUCCAUGCACAAUACCCAAUGCACAUGGUCAAGCUGAGUUUGCACCCUACUGCCCAUUUUACAUACUUGCCUUGGACAUUUUGCCAGCAAAGAACAAAAAGUGCGUGAGCAUAUUAGAAAAGUCAGCUCACAUGGUUAAAUGUUUAACUCUUUAGUUACUUGGACCACACUGCAAAACAAAUAUCUAACUGAUAAGGAGGGGGAUCAUGGGCAAUGCUUUUAGAGUAAGCCAAUUUCUUCUUCCUUUAAGAGAGCUGCACAAACCAAUUUACCAAAUUACUUGAAUGUAGGCCCAGAUGGGAUGGGAAACAAUUCUAUCUGAAACGUCCAGCACAGAGUCCCUGGUGGUGGUAGCAUGUUUCUUUAGAGGCUUCCUACGCCAUUCGCCCUCACGCAGUAGGAGAACACCAGCCAGAAGACUCACUCAACUCAGCCUUGUGUUUAUAGAAACAACCCGCUCCCUUGUGACUGUUUCAUCGUAUGGAGCAUAACUUUCCCAAACACCUCACAGGGCUAAUUUUAAAAACACAAAAGCUUUUUAGAAAGCUUGGGUAGGGGAAAUUUGUUGCAGAAGGAAAGAGAUGGCAGAAAUAGACUCCUUCCUUUUUCCUUUCUCUUGUUUGAGAUAAGGAAACAUCACACGCUAAAAGCAAUUUAAAAACAACAUGAAAGAUGGAUAAAUAUAGUCAUGAGCAUUCCAUUGGGUGCAGAGUGCUUCAGCGAUAGAGAAUGAGGGUGACUCUUUGGCCAUGGCAGUUUUUAAGAAAAUCCACAAAGUGGUCAUUGUGGAAAAAGUAAAAGCAACACUUAUAUAGGACCAGGUUGUGAAGCCCCUACUCAGUGGAGGAAGGAUGGCCCAAUGGUUAGGGUAUUAGACUAGGACUUAGAAUCAUAGAAGAUUAGGGUUGGAAGAGACCUCAGGAGGUCAUCUAGUGCAACCCCCUGCUCAAAGGAGGACCAACACUUGGACUUGGAGAGCUUGGGUUCACUUUCCUGCUCUACUGCAGACUUCCUAUGGCACCUUGAGCAAGUGACUUACUCCCUUUGUGCCUAAGCUUUCCAUCUGUGUAAUGGGGAUAAUAGCACUGCCCCAACCCACAGGUGUGUGACAAGGGUAAAUACAUUAAGGAUUGUGAGGUGCUCAGGUAAUGGGGGGCACAUAAGUACCUACGAGAGAGAGAGUCUGAUGAGGAGCUACUCAGGUGAAUAGUCCCAUGGGUGUCAAUAGGUUAGUGAUGUGAAUGUGGUCUGUAGUCUCUUUUAGUUUCAAAACAGUUGAUAGUCAUUGGCUGUCUUAUUCUCACAGCACCCCUAGGAAAUCAGUCAGUGGGAUAAGAGGGAAGGUUCUCUCAUGGAUCAGUAACUGGUUAAAAGAUAGGAAACAAGGGAUAGGAAUAAAUGGUCAGUUCUCAGAAUGAAGAGCGGUAAAUAGUGGUGUCCCUAAGGGUCUCCUGGGAACAACAUAUUCAUAUUCUGUACUGUUCAACAUAUUCAUAAAUGAUCUGGGAAAAGGGGUAAGCAGUGAGGUGGCAAAAUUUGCAGCUGAUACAAAAUACUCAAGAUAGUUAAAUCCAAAGCAGACUGUGAAGAAUUACAAAGGAAUCUUACAAAACUGGGAAACUGGGAAACAAAAUGGCAGAGUAAAUUCUCUAUUGAUAAAUGCGAGGUAAUGAACACUGGAAAACAUAAUCCCAACUAUACAUAUAAAAUAAUAAGUACUUAUCUGACCUCCAUUAUUACCUAAGCACCUCAGAUAAAAUUAGCUGUUACCACUCAAGAAAAAGGUCUUGGAAUCAUUGUGGAUAGUUCUCUGAAAACAUCUACUCAAUGUUCAGUGGCAGUCGAAAAGCUAACAAAAUUUUGGGAAUCAUGAAGAAAAGGAUAAAUAAUAAGACAGAAAAUAUCAUAUUGUCUUUGUAUAAGUCCAUGGUACACCCAUAUCUUGAAUACUGCAUGCAGAUUUGGUCGCCCCAUCUCAAAAAAGAUAUAUUUCAGUUGGAAAAGGUGCAGAAAAGGGCAACAAAAAUUGUUAGGGAUAUGGAGAGAUUAAUAAGACUGGGACUUUUCACCUUGGAAAAGAGACAACUAAGGGGGGAUAUGAUGGAGGGCUAUAAAAUCAUGACUGGUGCGGAGAAACUAAAUAAGGAAGUGUUAUUUACUCUUUCUCAUAACACAAGAGCCAAGGGUCACCAAAUGAAAUUAAUAGGCAGCAGGUUUAAAACCAACAAAAGGGAGUAUUUCUUCACACAACACACAGUCAACCUGUGGAACUCUUUGCCAGAGGAUGUUGUGAAGUCCAAGACUAUAACAGGCUUCAAAAAAGAACUAGAUAUAUUCAUGGAGGAUAGGUCCAUCAAUGGCUAUUAGCCAGGAUGGGCAGGGAUGGUGUCUCUAGCCUCUCUUUGCCAGAAGCUGGGAAUGAGCGACAGGGCAUGGAUCACUUGAUGAUUACUUGUUCUGUCCAUUCCCUCUGAAGUACCUGGCAUUGGCCACUGUCAGAAGGCAGGAUACUGGGCUAGAUGGACCUUUGGUCUGACCCAGUAUGCCCGUUCUUAUGUUCAUGUUAUUAUCCCCUUUUUACAGAGGGAGAAACUGUGACACAGAAAGGUUAAAGUGUGGGGUUCUGUUAUGAAGAGCUAACGCAUAUAAAUGGCAUUGGAGGUCCCUCAUUGUUUCUCUCUCAAUGACUCCCAGGUCAAACGGGCUCUGUUUUCAUCUCACUGCCAGCCCUUUAAAUGUGAUGGCCACCCUCUUGGCCAACAUACUGAGGAUUCAACCAGGGACCUCCUGAGCUAUGAGCAUGAGCUGCUCCAGCUUGAGCAAAAGAACCAAGUGUCCUUAGCUGGGACUCUAAUAGACAUAUACCAUCAAUAAACUGGGCACAUCAGGAGACCUGUAACACACACUGUCCAGUGGGUUACCCAAAUCAGCCUGGACCUGGACAGCAAAGUUGAGGUCUUCCCAUCCAUCCUGAGCAUCAUCACUAGUAUUACAGGUUACACAAGCCAAGUUAGACCAUCACUACCUCUGUGCAACACCACUGUUUUCCAGUUAUGUCCUCUCUGCAAUCCUGUAAUAGUCAGUGGAUUUGCAAGGGUGACAUUAAUUGCAACUUAGUAAAUAGUUGUGUUGAUGGUGCACCGGAAGGAAUAGAAUCCAGUUCACCAUUCCAUAGCAGUUUUGGCUCCUGCAGAGCUAAGAGCAGUGAAAACCGCGCACACACAUUUUACCACUAAAGUCAGUAGAUACAACUUUGAAAGAACAAAAAUAACAAUUCUGUUGAAUAAAAAAAUCUCAUUUUUUUACAUUCCUCUUCAUCUUUCAUCCUGGAGCAUCUUUGCAGACAUGGGCAACAGUACAGUAUUGCCAUUUAUUCCUGUCCAGGCCUUGUUCCUCCAAUAAGCCGAGCCUAGUCAUGUCCCUACGUACAAUGUCCUGCCAUCCAGUCAGUGGUUAGUCUCUAGGUUGGACUAACCUUGGUUGUGUUUGCAUUAUUUUCUUUGGCAUUCUAUCAUCCAUUUAUCUUUUGCAGUGUCCCCACCAUUGCAAUCUCUUCAACUGUAACCAAUCCCACACCUUGAUCUCACAUCCUGCUCCUUCUACCCUCUUUAUUUGUCUUAACAAUCAUUCCACUUUGCACCUGCUGUCCUUCAAAGAACUUUCACCUCUGCUGCCUCCAACCUUCUGAUUAGUUUGGAAAAGAGGAGAUUAAGGGGGAGACAUGAUAACAGUCUUCAAAUAUUUUAAAGGCUGUCAUUCAAAAGGAUGGAGAAAAAUUGUCCUCUCUUGCCACAGAGGGCAGGACAGGAGGCAAUGGGUUCAAACUACAGCAUAGCUGAUUUAGAUUAAAUUUCAGUAAAAAAAAUUCCUAACUUAAGAACAGUAGGACAAUGGAACAGACUGCCUAGGAAAAUCAUGGAAUCUUCUUCACUGGAGGUUUCCGAAAAGAGGCUGGAUAGCCCUCUGUCUUGGAUGGUGUAGACACAACAAAUGCUUCUUCUUGGCGAGGGUACACUAGAUGACCCUUUGUGCCCCUUCUCACCCUAUGAUCCUAUGUCUGUUUUGUUCAGUGCAGCUGCUUCCAGACCACAGAGUAAUACUGUUAGUACAUUGGUUUUAAAAUUUUUAACUUUGGCACCAAACAUAAUGUUUUUAUCGGUUCAUAAUUUCAACAACUUCAGUGCAGCUCUUGAGGCUAAGGCAUUUUAACAUCAUCACUACUCAUAGAUGAACCCUCAGGGCAAAAUUCUCACACCUGGUUGAAUAAAUGUAGGUAUCUAUGUGCUUUGACACUUACUUAAAUGGUCUGAUUGUCAGUGAGCAAGAGGGGGGUGGUCAUGCCCAACGGUUAGAGCAGGAGUCAGCACCCAAGGUCAGAGCCGGUGCCAGAGGCCGGACUCCAAAGCCAGAAAUCAGAGCUGAGGGUCACAGACAAUUUACCUGGAGUGAGGCAAGGCAGCCGUGAAGCACUGUUUUGAGCAGCUGGUGCACUGUUGCUGCCUCUGGGUUUAAGAGCCAGUCUGCUGUCUCUGAUGACCAAUCAGAGGCUGUAGCCAAUCAGGCAGCCUACUACAGGUGCUCGUUUGGUUGCCUGGAGGCUGGCUCUGCUGCCGACCCUGCUUCCUGACAUUGAUCUUCCUAGGUGCUGAGCACCUACAUCUCCCGCUGAGAGAACGCUUAUGGGGGCAGAGCUCCACACCCAAAGACACAGGACUGGGAUGAACCCCAGGAUGAAGGAAGGUUGUCCUUGGCUUUAGGCUCAGACUCCGGUGAUCUGGAUUCAGUCCUUGUCUCUGCCACAGACUCCUUGUGUGACCUUGGUUAAUCACUUAAUCGCUCUGUACCCUCUGUAAAGUCAAGUUCCCUUUCUCCCCCCUUUCGUCCAACUUUUCUAUUUAGAUUGUACGUUCUUCAAGGGAGGGACUAUCAAUUUAAUAUGAUUGUGCAGCACCUACCACAAUGAAGCCCUGAUCUCGGCUGCGGCCAGGAAUUACCAUAAUGAUAAGCUUGGGGAACUUUUCUGAUGCUCUUUUUUGGCUUUGUUUCAUU